AACUGCAACUGUAAAAUUGUUAUCAUACCAUCUCAGACCUUUUAGAAAAGAGAGAGGGUAUGAUAACAAUUUUACAGUUGCAGUUCACUUAAAAACUUCUAGUGCAAAAAAGACAAAAUCAGAGAUCAUCACAAGUUUCCUAUUCUGCAAUGAGACAGUUCUCCAAAUUAAAAUGAGGAGGACAAGCCAAAAGAGCAUACAGAUUCAAAGUUAGGCUUUGAAUAUGAACAAAAGAUAUGUCUAUGCCCCAUCUGGCUGCAUGAAAGGGUUGGCAAUUUCAUCUGUCCCUUCAGUUGGUGAGACCAGCAUUACAGCAGUUCCCCUGCAAACUAUUAAGCCAAGGCGCCUGGUCUGGCCAGUGGUCUUCAGUGGAUCAUCAGGAUCUCUUAGAUAUUCUAUAGCUUCAUCCAGGACAAGAUUUAACAAUUGAUCAUACCCUUUCAGAGUCCCUGUCACUUGUCUACCACCAGUGAGCUUGACUUGGACACCCUUAUCCACAAAUUUUGCCAAAUCCAACACAGUUUCUUUCCUUCCUGACAUCUUUACACAGAAAUCUGAGAACCCUGAAAUUUCGUUUUAGCAGAAAAUUGCAGUGUGCCCUAGCUUGCCUCUUCCCCCUUGCCAGAGACUGCUUCGCCUUUUCCCGCUUGCGCGUAGAAGUUAUUUGGACUCGUUCCCU
rnacentral:misc_RNA from 1 species